rnacentral:rRNA from 1 species
UGGGGAAUAUUGGACAAUGGGCGCAAGCCUGAUCCAGCCAUGCCGCGUGUGUGAAGAAGGCCUUAUGGUUGUAAAGCACUUUAAGCGAGGAGGAGGCUACUUUAGUUAAUACCUAGAGAUAGUGGACGUUACUCGCAGAAUAAGCACCGGCUAACUCUGUGCCAGCAGCCGCGGUAAUACAGAGGGUGCAAGCGUUAAUCGGAUUUACUGGGCGUAAAGCGCGCGUAGGCGGCUAAUUAAGUCAAAUGUGAAAUCCCCGAGCUUAACUUGGAAUUUGCAUAGAUACUGGGUAAGUUAGAUUGGGGAGGAGAAAGUUAGAUUUCAGGGUUAGGCGUUAAAUUGCGAGGAAUUUGGGAGAAUACCGAAUGCGCAGGCCGGCAUCUGGCCCAACCAUUGCCGUUGAGUGCGAAAGCCACGGGAGCAAACAG